UACGAAGGGGGCUAGCGUUGCUCGGAAUCACUGGGCGUAAAGGGUGCGUAGGCGGGUCUUUAAGUCAGAGGUGAAAUCCUGGAGCUCAACUCCAGAACUGCCUUUGAUACUGAGGAUCUUGAGUUUGGGAGAGGUGAGUGGAACUGCGAGUGUAGAGGUGAAAUUCGUAGAUAUUCGCAAGAACACCAGUGGCGAAGGCGGCUCACUGGCCCGAUACUGACGCUGAUGCACGAAAGCGUGGGGAGCAAACAGG
rnacentral:rRNA from 1 species